rnacentral:rRNA from 1 species
UACGUAGGGGGCUAGCGUUGUCCGGAAUCAUUGGGCGUAAAGCGCGUGUAGGCGGUCCGGUAAGUCCGCUGUGAAAGUCGGGGGCUCAACCCUCGAAUGCCGGUGGAUACUGUCGGGCUAGAGUGCGGGAGAGGCGAGUGGAAUUCCUGGUGUAGCGGUGAAAUGCGCAGAUAUCGGGAGGAACACCUAUGGCGAAGGCAGCUCGCUGGGACGUUACUGACGCUGAGACGCGAAAGCGUGGGGAGCAAACAGG